CAGAAAUGCAAAGACACCAGCCGUCGGGUGACAAGUCAUUGAAUGAGGACGGUGGAAGUGGAGAAAAGACGGGCAUAUGUGAGCAGGAACACUGAAGCUGGUCCUCAGGGGUCUCCAGUCUUCUACAGCAACAACUCAACACAGGGCCCUGCAGAAUAAGCAAAUGCUGCCUCUCGCAAUCAGGUCGGUGUACAGGAGCUCACUACUGCUGCCCAGCACCAAGAGAGAGAGGACCACGCUGCAUAUCAUUAGCCUACAGAAAGAAGAAAACCAAGUUUGAUCUGUGCUGUGCUACGUAACUAGGUGUGAUUCCUGUAGCAGGGAGCAUGUCUGUGGCUCUGCUCGCUAACAACAUCUAAAAAACUCACAUUCAGUCCCUCUUCUGUGCUCAGCCCAUGAAGCUUCCUGUCAAAUUCUAUGUUUAGAGGACGUAAAUACUGGGCAUCUUGACUCAGAGAAAGCACGGAGGAAAUGUCCUUUGACGCUAGGGACAGAGGGCAUGACUGAGGUGCCUGGGCCGGUUCAUGAGCAUGAAGGAUCGGGGAGCAACAGUCGCAGAAGCUGGACUUGGCAGAGAGGAGGUGUUGCCUGCCACCGAGACCCAUAUUUGUGCAGACCGCUUUACACUUGGCAGUUUUGAAAGAACGCUAACAAUAAGUGGAUUGAAGACGGACAGCGGUGGCACACGCCUUUGAUCCCAGCGCCUGGGAG